rnacentral:rRNA from 1 species
AAAAGAUAAUUACAAUAAAAUUCCACUAUUUGUAAUAGCACAGAGAUGUGGCGUGGUAUUAAAAAAAAUGAGUUUGAUCCUAGCUCAGAGA